AGGGAAUUUGGAUAGUAUUUUACAGCAGUCUCAAAUAAUCAAUAAGGCAGCAGUAAGUAAGAAACUUCACAUUCAUGACCUUCUAUGGCGGACUUGAUGCCAUCUUCAGGUUUUGAUGACCAAGGAUGCUUGUUCUCAGGUAAGUUUGCUGUUGAAAAAUGCUCCCACUUUGACUAAGCAGACAAUCUGACAAUAUACAAGAGUGAUCACAAAGAUUAGUAUGGAAAACCAGGAAACUGCAAUUAUUUAAUCAUAAAAAGCAAAUGGCAAUGACUCAGAAAAUUAAUGUUACAGUAAAAAAUUAUAAUUAAUAUUUUAAAAAAUAAUAAUUAAUAUUUGAUUCAGCUAUAAUGUCCAACUACUUGGAUACACGAAAUGUUGGACUUCAGUGAGAAGCUGUAAUAUUUGAUUUCUUACUUUGUAUGCCAAAACAAUAAAAAUUCAACUAGAAAAGAAAUAGGAAAAUGCAAAAGAACAAAGCUUUUCGUGCCAUUAUAAAAUUUUUUUGGAAUCAUUUGCAGGCUGCAGCCUUUGAGACAUUCACUGGGCCUAAUGCUGAUUAUAAAAGUGGGUUAAGAUACCAGAAGGCAGAAGCAUUCAACAAAAUUUAGUCAAUCAAUGUCAAAAUAUGAUGGUAGAGCAUAGUUAUUAAACUCGAUCGAACCAGCUGAUUAAAUUAGUGAACCAGCCUUCAAAUCG
rnacentral:misc_RNA from 1 species